GUCGAGCGAGAAAGGGUAGCAAUAUCCGAGUAAAGCGGCGCACGGGUGAGUAACACGUGGAUAACCUGCCUCGAAGUGUGGGAUAACACCGGGAAACCGGUGCUAAUACCGCAUACCCUGACGAGAUCUGCGGAUUUUGUCAGUAAAGGAGCAAUUCGCUUUGAGAGGGGUCCGCGGCUGAUUAGCUAGUUGGUGAGGUAAUGGCUCACCAAGGCAUCGAUCAGUAGCCGGUCUGAGAGGGCGCACGGACACACUGGAACUGAAACACGGUCCAGACUCCUACGGGAGGCAGCAGUGGGGAAUUUUGCGCAAUGGGGGAAACCCUGACGCAGCAACGCCGCGUGGAGGAUGAAAUCCCUUGGGAUGUAAACUCCUUUCGAUCGGGAAGAUAAUGACGGUACCGAGAGAAGAAGCCCCGGCUAACUUCGUGCCAGCAGCCGCGGUAAUACGAGGGGGGCAAGCGUUGUUCGGAAUUAUUGGGCGUAAAGGGUGCGUAGGCGGUUUGAUAAGUUUGAUGUGAAAUCUCUGGGCUCAACCCAGAGUCUGCAUCGAAAACUGUCGGGCUUGAGUAUGGGAGAGGUGAGUGGAAUUUCCGGUGUAGCGGUGAAAUGCGUAGAUAUCGGAAGGAACACCUGUGGCGAAAGCGGCUCACUGGACCAUUACUGACGCUGAUGCACGAAAGCUAGGGGAGCAAACAGGAUUAGAUACCCUGGUAGUCCUAGCCCUAAACGAUGAUUGCUUGAUGUGGUGGGUACC
rnacentral:rRNA from 1 species